GUGUAUUUUUUCUGUCACCUCGGGUGUGACGUCAUUUCCAGCUGCUACAUCCCUCUUCUCAACGCAGCAUUAAAACAGGCUUGCUUUUCCUCUUUUAAGGAGUAUGGAAUCAUUAAGUGACAGAAGAACUGACCCAAGAGCAUGGAUCUAGCGGCAGUCAGCUCUCGCAGAGGAACCAGUCCCUAGGGGCACACGUGCAGGCUUUCCUGGAUUUGCAACAUCUUGUCCUCAAUGACGAUGCAGUUUUUCUGGGCGCGCCUAAAUGAAAAGACUAGGGUGUGCCUGUCCGGAGAUGAUCCUCUGCAGAGCUUUAAGGAGUAUGUGGAGUGGGUACUCCUCCACAAUGGUUCCCUAUUCACGAUCUGCAAGAGCGAGGAGGAAAUCAGUGCACCAGCCCCAGCCUAGCGAUGACAAAGCCUGUGCCCACCGCAGACGUGGAGCCAGAGCCUACCACAAUCAGAGCACCAGCAUCAUGUACUGAGCUAAAGAUCGUCCCCGAGCCCGACAUAACGUCUGACCAGAUGCAUGAGUGCCAUUCAUGAAUUUUAUCCCUGUCUCGUGUGACCCUGUUCACCCCCACCUGCACUGCCCAGUCCUCCAGCCCUUCAGCUUCUACCCUGGUUACCAGUGAUUCACCUUGAUCUGAGUGUUCACCAGCCUUGGAUUGCAUACACAGCUCCGCCCAGACCCUCCGGCUCCACCUUUGUCAGUCAUCGCCCCAGACUUUCAGGCCUUCAGCUGGUUCUUUAUUGCAACCUCACCAUGACACACACUGCUUCAUCUCUCAUACCAUAGAUCAGAGGACCCGGGCAGUGCAGCAGAAUAAGAACAAUAAGAGGAGAGAGGUGUGACACAGUUCCAACAAAAUCAAGUGCAAUAGCACAUUUCUGUAGGGGAAUCUGGUAGUGGCAACCUGGAGAACAACCUGGAUCUGGAGAGGCUGCUUCCCUGCUUCACAAAGGAGGAUCUGACUGAGGUCAGGGACCUGCUACUGGCAAACAAAGUGCCCACAUUCUCCACCAUUAACUGUAGGGGAAUUUAUAGAUAAGGACCCAAAGACUAGAUAUGAUGAAUGAAGACCCGGAGUCAGAAGUGCAAUCAAUUGAAGAGAAUUUUAUUGUAGAAUAAUUUGCAGCAUACACAUUGGCUCUGUGUUUCCUUCCAGUACCCAAAUCUAUAUGCACUCUGUUAGUCUUUAUCUCGCACUGUACUUUCUUUAAUGCUCCUCUGACUCUAGCACUGAUGUCUCUGGAGCGAUAUGUGGCGAUCUGCUUCCCUCUCACUCU